UGGGGAAUUUUGGACAAUGGGCGAAAGCCUGAUCCAGCAAUGCCGCGUGUGUGAAGAAGGCCUUCGGGUUGUAAAGCACUUUUGUCCGGAAAGAAAUCCUUGGCUCUAAUACAGUCGGGGGAUGACGGUACCGGAAGAAUAAGCACCGGCUAACUACGUGCCAGCAGCCGCGGUAAUACGUAGGGUGCGAGCGUUGAUCGGAAUUACUGGGCGUAAAGCGUGCGCAGGCGGUUUGCUAAGACCGAUGUGAAAUCCCCGGGCUCAACCUGGGAACUGCAUUGGUGACUGGCAGGCUAGAGUAUGGCAGAGGGGGGUAGAAUUCCACGUGUAGCAGUGAAAUGCGUAGAGAUGUGGAGGAAUACCGAUGGCGAAGGCAGCCCCCUGGGCCAAUACUGACGCUCAUGCACGAAAGCGUGGGGAGCAAACA
rnacentral:rRNA from 1 species